GGGUCGUUGACGUACCCGCAGAAUAAGCACCGGCUAACUCCGUGCCAGCAGCCGCGGUAAUACGGAGGGUGCAAGCGUUAUUCGGAAUUACUGGGGUAAAGCGCACGCAGGCGGUUUUUAAGUCAGAUGUGAAAUCCCCGGGCUCAACCUGGGAACUGCUUUGAUACUGGCAAGCUUGAGUGUGGUAGAGGGGGGUAGAAUUCCAGGUGUAGCGGUGAAAUGCGUAGAAUCUGGAGGAACACCGGUGGCGAAGG
rnacentral:rRNA from 2 species